rnacentral:rRNA from 1 species
UGUACCGUUUCAGAUCGAUUGAGCGAAGGAGUGACACAGAAAGCAGUUUGAGCGCGCGGAUGGAAGAGCGCGUCGAAGCCGGUAGGCUGCAUGGCAGGCAAAUCCGCCAUGUGAAAAGGCCGAGAGGUGAUAGAUAGGCAAAUCUUCGGAGGAGCCGAAUUGAAACGAGCUACGCUGUCGAGAAAAGCUUCUAGCGAGAGAAGAAGCGCCCGUACCAAAACCGACACAGGUAGGCGCGGAGAGAAUCCUAAGGUGCGCGGGACAACCCUCGUUAAG